GCUUUAGCUGCAGAAGGAAGAAAUUCAAAUGAACCAGUGAUUGGGGCUAAAACAGCAGAAUAUUGGGGGCUUAGGAAAAGGAACAGUGAAGCUUUUGGAUUGUACAAGAUGCCUGCUGCCCCAUCUUUGAUAUUAAAGGCACCCUUGCCUUGCUGCCUACUAUGUCAGACACUAGAAGUCACAGCAUAGGAUUUCUUUCUCAAGCCCCCUCCAACGCCAGGAUACACAUUAGCACCGCAAUAUGGAAAUUACCGUGAAUCAUUACAUGGAACCAUGGUCUCUGCAUCACACAUAGAAUCUUGUAUGUAACUGAAUUAUUUUCUCCAUAUGAAGUUGCAAAUAAUUUAAGGAACACUGGCAAAGAUAUGGGGGGAGGGGCUACUUAAAUCUAUGAUCCUAACAGGCCUUCUAUUAUGCAGACAUACAAUUAUGACCAGACAAUAUUUAAAAAACAAAACCACAAAA